rnacentral:rRNA from 1 species
GUUUGAUCCUGGCUCAGGACGAACGCUGGCGGCGUGCCUAACACAUGCAAGUCGAACGAGAUUUACUGCUUCACCAAUACCUUAAACUUUUCGCCCCAAGCACGAAUGUGCUUUACGCGAAAAAAGCUUGUCAACACAAGUUAUGAGAGAUUGGUGAAGUGGUAAAUCUAGUGGCGGACGGGUGAGUAAUGCAUGAACAAUCUGCCCUAUACAGAGGAAUAGCCUCGGGAAACCGGGAUUAAAACCACAGAACACUUUGGUGUCGCAUGACACAGAAGCCAAAUUGAAUAAGAGGUAUAGGAUGAGUUCAUGUCUGAUUAGCUAGUUGGUAAGGUAACGGCUUACCAAGGCGACGAUCAGUAGCCGGCCUGAGAGGGUGAACGGCCACACUGGAACUGAGACACGGUCCAGACUCCUACGGGAGGCAGCAGUGGGGAAUAUUGCACAGUGGAGGGAACUCUGAUGCAGCGACGCCGCGUGAGUGAAGAAGGUCUUCGGAUCGUAAAACUCUGUCCUUGGUGAAGAAGAAAAUGACGGUAGCCAAGGAGGAAGCCCCGGCUAACUACGUGCCAGCAGCCCGCGGUAAUACGUAGGGGGCGAGCGUUGUCCGGGAUUUACUGGGCGUAAAGGGUGAGUAGGCGGUUAUGUAUGUCAGGUGUAAAAGGCGUAGGCUUAACUUACGUUAGCACUUGAAACUGCAUAACUUGAGUGCAGGAGAGGUAAGUGGAAUUCCUAGUGUAGCGGUGAAAUGCGCAGAUAUUAGGAGGAACACCAGUGGCGAAGCGACUUACUGGACUGUAACUGACGCUGAGUCACGAAAGCGUGGGUAGCAAACAGGAUUAGAUACCCUGGUAGUCCACGCUGUAAACGAUGAGUGCUAGGUGUUGGGUAGCGAUAUUCAGUGCCGAAGUAAACACAAUAAGCACUCCGCCUGGGGAGUACGGUCGCAAGACCGAAACUCAAAGGAAUUGACGGGGACCCGCACAAGCAGCGGAGCAUGGUGGUUUAAUUCGAAGCAACGCGAAGAACCUUACCAAGGUUUGACAUCCCCUUGACAGAUGCAGAGAUGUGUCCUCCCCUUCUGGGGCAAGGGAGACAGGUGGUGCAUGGUUGUCGUCAGCUCGUGUCGUGAGAUGUUGGGUUAAGUCCCGCAACGAGCGCAACCCUUAUCUUUAGUUGCCAGCAUUUAAGGUGGGCACUCUAAAGAGACUGCCGAUGAUAAAUCGGAGGAAGGUGGGGAUGACGUCAAAUCAUCAUGCCCCUUAUAUCUUGGGCUACACACGUGCUACAAUGGUCGGUACAACGGGGAGCGAAGGAGUGAUCUGGAGCAAAUCCCAAUAAACCGAUCCCAGUUCGGAUUGUAGGCUGCAACUCGCCUACAUGAAGUCGGAGUU